rnacentral:rRNA from 1 species
AAUUUUGGACAAUGGGGGAAACCCUGAUCCAGCCAUCCCGCGUGUAUGAUGAAGGCCUUCGGGUUGUAAAGUACUUUUGGCAGAGAAGAAAAGGUAUUUCCUAAUACGAGAUACUGCUGAUGCAAUCUGCAGAUUAGGCACCGCCCACCUACUUUCCAGCAGCCGCGGUAAUCGGAAGGGUGCAAGCGUUAAUCGGAAUUACUGGGCGUAAAGCGUGUGUAGGCGGUUCGGGAAGAAAGAUGUGAAAUCCCAGGGCUCAACCUUGGAACUGCAUUUUUAACUGCCGAGCUAGAGUAUGUCAGAGGGGGGUAGAAUCCCACAUGUAGCAGUGGAAUGCGUAGAUAUGUGGAGGAAUACCGAUGGCGAAGGCAGCCCCCUGGGAUAAUACUGACGCUCAGACACGAAAGCGUGGGGAGCAAACAG